rnacentral:rRNA from 1 species
GACGAACGCUGGCGGCGUGCUUAACACAUGCAAGUCGAACGGAAAGGCCCUGUUUUUGUGGGGUGCUCGAGUGGCGAACGGGUGAGUAAAACGUGAGUAAACUGUCCUUGACUUUGGGAUAACAUCAGGAAAAUGGAGCGAAUAUCCGAUAGGAGCUCCUGAUGCACGGGGGUGAUUGGUAAGUUUCGGCGGUUUGGGAUGGACUCGCGGCUUAUCGUCUUGUUGGCGGGGUGGUGGCUUAACAAGGCGUCGACGGGUAGCCGGACUGGGAGGGUGACCGGCCACAUAGGGACUGGGAUGCGGCCCAUACUCCUUCGGGAGGCAGCGGUGAGGGUUAGUCCGCGAUGGGCGGAAUCCGGAUGCAGCAUCUCCGCGUCCGGGAUGACGGUUUGUGGGUUGGAACCCGCGUUCGCCUGUGACGAAGCGUAAGUGACGGUAACGGGUAAAGAAGCAACGGCUAACUACGUG